rnacentral:misc_RNA from 1 species
GUUUUUCAUUUUUAAUGUUUUUCAACAAAGAAAAAAAUCUUUAGACUUUGGUGACUUCAAAAGUAUUACUACUUUCUUGGUCAAUGAUAUGGAGUUUAAAAAAGGUUCACACAAAAAAGGUUUUGGGGUUUGUGGAUAAAAUUGUUUUAGCAAUGAUCCUUCCGCAGGUUCACCUACGGAAA